rnacentral:lncRNA from 1 species
UUUCUCUAGGGAUGAUAACAGCAAGGCUUUUUCCCUCUGCAAAUAUAUACGACUUUGCUGAAUUAAUAGAAAUAUGGAAAAGGAGGACCAGGAUUCAGGAAUGAUGUGGAGUGAAUUCAGAGGAGGAUGUAUUGUAUAAAACAAAGCCUUUCUUCCAGUCACUCUGGAGAACAACACUGUGUGAGAACAGUGCUGUGCUUUAAAUCAUUAAAGAUAACUUCUUGCCAGGUAAUGCGAGAUAAUGAUAGCACAUAAUAUUCUUCUCUUGCUGCUUCUUUCUCAUGUAUUGAUUGGCUCUAUCCUGUAGGUGUGAUAGACCAGGGUGCUUACCCUCUAUUCCUCUGAGCACUUUGAAGAAACUACUACAUUUGUCAAAUGACCAAAAAAAAUCAUCUUAAGAGAGUCAAUUGAGAGACAUCAAAAGCAACUGGAAAACCAUCCCAGGCAAUGUUACACAAACCCUUCUGCCCCGUGCAGCAGCUGGAGCUGCAGUGUUUGUGCCGUGGCUCCAGCUGCUCUUCAGCUGCACAGGGAGCACUUCCCAAGCCUGGCUCUCAGCACCACAGCCUGCUCUGUGACAGAGAAACAGCUAUUGGAGCUUCCUGCAGCAAGUGGCACUUCUCCACCCGAAGGUUUCCAGAGUGGCACAGAAGUGCAAGUCACAUCUGGAAUGUCCUCUAACAAUCUCAAGACUUUUUCAGAAGGAAACAUAUUCUGCAAUGUGACACAGCAAAGGAGAUAUCCAAGAGAUUGAUUUCAGAUUGUGAAGGCAUUCAACAUGCAUGUUUUUAAGGUAAAAAUACCUCCAGCCUCUUUUGGUUCCUAUAUAAUUUUGCAGGUACCUCUUUCCAAUCUCAAGGAAAUCACCUGUUUUGUGAACCACAGAUGCUGCUAAAAUUGAUGUGAAAAACGGUGGUCCAGAAAUUAUCUGUGUGAGGAAUUUCUUUAAAAUGCCAGCGCUGUUCUAUGGUAACAAAUUGUAUCAAAACUGAACACAGGGGUGAUGCUAAAUAUCCUGCUGCUUAAAGAAAUAUCUUUUAAACUGCUGUCUUACAGUGCUUACCACUGCAGGUUGAAAACAUUUGUGCAAAAAUAUGAAUUUACCAUGGCUCUUGUAAACCAUGACAAAAGGCUGUGCUGUGGCAGGAAAAGUAACAUGGAUAGACUUUCAAUGUCUUAAAGUCAGUAAUACUCUUAAUAUGGUGACUGAGCACUCUAAUCUCUGGCUUGGGAUAACAUUUGCCUUAAUUACUUGUGGAUCAUCUGUCUCAAAGUGCUGACUUGUUCUUGAAAACAUAAGGUUGGUGAUGCGGUGAAA